rnacentral:rRNA from 1 species
UGGGGAAUUUUGGACAAUGGGCGCAAGCCUGAUCCAGCCAUGCCGCGUGCGGGAAGAAGGCCUUCGGGUUGUAAACCGCUUUUGUCAGGGAAGAAAUCUUCUGAGUUAAUACCUCGGGAGGAUGACGGUACCUGAAGAAUAAGCACCGGCUAACUACGUGCCAGCAGCCGCGGUAAUACGUAGGGUGCAAGCGUUAAUCGGAAUUACUGGGCGUAAAGCGUGCGCAGGCGGUUUUGUAAGACAGAGGUGAAAUCCCCGGGCUCAACCUGGGAACUGCCUUUGUGACUGCAAGGCUUGAGUGCGGCAGAGGGGGAUGGAAUUCCGCGUGUAGCAGUGAAAAUGCGUAGAUAUGCGGAGGAAACACCGAUGGCGAAGGCAAUCCCCUGGGCCUGCACUGACGCUCAUGCACGAAAGCGUGGGGAGCAAACAGAUUAGAUACCCUGGUAGUCCACGCCCUAAAACGAUGUCAACUGGUUGUUGGGAAGGUUCCUUCUCAGUAACGUAGCUAACGC